AUACGUAGGGGGCAAGCGUUGUCCGGAAUUAUUGGGCGUAAAGCGCGCGCAGGCGGCUUCUUAAGUCAGGUGUGAAAGCCCACGGCUCAACCGUGGAGGGCCACCUGAAACUGGGAGGCUUGAGUGCAGGAGAGGAGAGCGGAAUUCCACGUGUAGCGGUGAAAUGCGUAGAGAUGUGGAGGAACACCCGUGGCGAAGGCGGCUCUCUGGCCUGUAACUGACGCUGAGGCGCGAAAGCGUGGGGAGCGAACAGGA
rnacentral:rRNA from 1 species